CUUCCAGUGAUGAUACCUUUGUCCAGUUCUGCUACUGAAUGGAAAGAGAUGAUCCUUUUUAAUACUGAGGAGG